CCUACGGGUGGCAGCAGUGGGGAAUAUUGCACAAUGGGGGGAACCCUGAUGCAGCAAUGCCGCGUGGGUGAAGAAGCACUCCGGUGCGUAAAGCCCUGUCAGCAGGGAAGAAAAUGACAGUACCUGGACAAGAAGCCCCGGCUAACUACGUGCCAGCAGCCGCGGUAAUACGUAGGGGGCAAGCGUUAUCCGGAAUUACUGGGUGUAAAGGGAGCGUAGACGGUUAAGUAAGUCUGGAGUGAAAGGCCGGGGCCCAACCCCGGGACUGCUCUGGAAACUAUUGAACGUGAGUGCAGGAGAGGUAAGCGGAAUUCCUAGUGUAGCGGUGAAAUGCGGAGAUAUUAGGAGGAACACCAGUGGCGAAGGCGGCUUACUGGACUGUAACUGACGUGGAGGCUCGAAAGCGUGGGGAGCAAACAGGAUUAGAUACCCUUGUAGUC
rnacentral:rRNA from 1 species